rnacentral:rRNA from 1 species
UACAGAGGUCUCAAGCGUUGUUCGGAUUUACUGGGCGUAAAGGGUGCGUAGGCGGUCGGGUAAGUUUGAUGUGAAAUCUCCGGGCUUAACCCGGAAAUGGCAUUGAAUACUAUUCGGCUAGAGAGUUGGAGGGGGGACUGGAAUACUUGGUGUAGCAGUGAAAUGCGUAGAUAUCAAGUGGAACACCAGUGGCGAAGGCGAGUCCCUGGACAACUUCUGACGCUGAAGCACGAAAGCUAGGGGAGCAAACAGG